rnacentral:tRNA from 3 species
AGGUGCGUAGCUUUAUAGUCUUAACUUUGCAAAAGUUAGUGUGAGAUUUUUUAGUCUCCGUAUCUU